rnacentral:rRNA from 1 species
CCUACGGGGGGCAGCAGUGGGGAAUAUUGGACAAUGGGGGCAACCCUGAUCCAGCCAUGCCGCGUGUGUGAAGAAGGCCCUCGGGUUGUAAAGCACUUUCAGUGAGGAAGAACGCCUGGUGGUUAAUACCCAUCAGGAAAGACAUCACUCACAGAAGAAGCACCGGCUAACUCCGUGCCAGCAGCCGCGGUAAUACGGAGGGUGCGAGCGUUAAUCGGAAUUACUGGGCGUAAAGCGCGCGUAGGUGGCUUGAUAAGCCGGUUGUGAAAGCCCCGGGCUCAACCUGGGAACGGCAUCCGGAACUGUCAAGCUAGGGUGCAGGAGAGGAAGGUAGAAUUCCCGGUGUAGCGGUGAAAUGCGUAGAGAUCGGGAGGAAUACCAGUGGCGAAGGCGGCCUUCUGGACUGACACUGACACUGAGGUGCGAAAGCGUGGGUAGCAAACAGGAUUAGAUACCCGUGUAGUC